GACGAACGCUGGCGGCGUGCUUAACACAUGCAAGUCGAACGGUAAGGCCCUUCGGGGUACACGAGUGGCGAACGGGUGAGUAACACGUGGGUGAUCUGCCCUGCACUUCGGGAUAAGCCUGGGAAACUGGGUCUAAUACCGGAUAAGACCCUGGGAUGCAUGUCCUGGGGUGGAAAGCUUUUGCGGUGUGGGAUGGGCCCGCGGCCUAUCAGCUUGUGGGGGGGGUGAUGGCCUACCAAGGCGACGACGGGUAGCCGGCCUGAGAGGGUGACCGGCCACACUGUGACUGAGAUACGGCCCAGACUCCUACGGGAGGCAGCAGUGGGGAAUAUUGCACAAUGGGCGCAAGCCUGAUGCAGCGACGCCGCGUGAGGGAUGACGGCCUUCGGGUUGUAAACCUCUUUCAGCACCGACGAAGCGCAAGUGACGGUAGGUGCAGAAGAAGGACCGGCCAACUACGUGCCAGCCGCCGCGGUAA
rnacentral:rRNA from 1 species